rnacentral:rRNA from 1 species
GACGAACGCUGGCGGCGUGCUUAACACAUGCAAGUCGAACGGAAAGGCUCCAGCUUGCUGGAGUACUCGAGUGGCGAACGGGUGAGUAACACGUGGGUAAUCUGCCCUGCACUCUGGGAUAAGCCUGGGAAACUGGGUCUAAUACUGGAUAUGACCUUUCUCCUUAUGGGGUUUGGUGGAAAGUUUUUCGGUGUAGGAUGAGCCCGCGGCCUACCAGCUUGUUGGUGGGGUGAUGGCCUACCAAGGCGACGACGGGUAGCCGGCCUGAGAGGGUGAUCGGCCACAUUGGGACUGAGAUACGGCCCAGACUCCUACGGGAGGCAGCAGUGGGGAAUAUUGCACAAUGGGCGGUAGCCUGAUGCAGCGACGCCGCGUGAGGGAUGACGGCCUUCGGGUUGUAAACCUCUUUCAGCAGGGACGAAGCGUAAGUGACGGUACCUGCAGAAGAAGCACCGGCUAACUAUGUG